GACGAACGCUGGCGGCGUGCUUAACACAUGCAAGUCGAGCGGUAAGGCUCCUUCGGGAGUACACGGGCGGCGAACGGGUGAGUAACACGUGAGUAAUCUGCCCUUCACUUCGGGAUAACCACCGGAAACGGUGGCUAAUACCGAAUACGACCAGUCUUCGCAUGAGGUGCUGGUGGAAAGUCUUUUCGGUGAAGGAUGUGCUCGCGGCCUAUCAGCUUGUUGGUGGGGUAAUGGCCUACCAAGGCUUCGACGGGUAGCCGGCCUGAGAGGGUGACCGGCCACACUGGGACUGAGACACGGCCCAGACUCCUACGGGAGGCAGCAGUGGGGAAUAUUGGACAAUGGGCGAAAGCCUGAUCCAGCAACGCCGCGUGAGGGAUGACGGCCUUCGGGUUGUAAACCUCUUUCAGUACCGACGAAGCGCCCUGUCGGGUGGUGACGGUAGGUACAGAAGAAGGACCGGCCAACUACGU
rnacentral:rRNA from 1 species